rnacentral:tRNA from 2 species
GGGCAUGUAGCUCAGAGGAUAGAGCACCAGAUUCCGGUUCUGGGUGUCGGGGGUUCGACUCCCUCCAUGCUCG